CUUAAUCCUUCAUUUCGUCUAGAUUUUUCUCGCCUACUGCGAAACUUGAUAGUCACCGGUUACAAAUCAAAGGUUCACCCACAUCAUCCACUAAUUAAUCAUUUACUCUCCCCCUUUAGUUUAGUAAUCGAUUCAGUUUUUGAGAUCCCGAAUAAUCUGAGAGGAUUUUUAAUUACGAUGGCGACUAAUCUGAGGUGGAGGAUUAGCCAGAGAUGGAAGGAAAGUGGGUAGGGAGGACGCCAUAGGGAGUGGGACUGGUGGUGAAGCUAGCUGGCGGCGAUUAAGUAGCAGACAGGGAUGAUUGCAAAGUAAACUGUCAAAGAAUAAUACUGAACAUAAUUUGCAGUGUCGCCACCUGCUAAAAAGAUAUGUGGAACUUUAAGUCAAUGACAGAUGAUGAUCCAAUGAAGUUUGGGUUUGGCUCACCAGGAAUCAAAGAUAAGAAGAAGAAGAAGAACAAGAAAAGAAGAAGAACAAGAAGAUGAUGAAGAAGAAGAAGGCCUUCAAGCUGUGAGUGUAAACAUACACUAUAUGCUUCUUUGAUCAUAUAUAACAUUGGACGACCCAUCCCUAAUCAAUCAGGUUCCAUCUCUUUCUCUCCCUCUCUCUGUUAUCCAUCGUUCCUCACUAUUUCUAAUCAGUUUUUAUGAUGCCUUCGUUUGAGCUAAUUGUAUAUGUGUGGUUACGGAGUUGCCGGAACUGGGUAAAGAAUUUUCUGCUCAUAUGCUUAAUUAGUACACUCACAGAUGAUGAGCUUUCUGGAUUGGAAGUGUGGGGGUCUUCUUUUGAGAUGCCAAAACUGGAUGUUUUAAAAUGUUUCUCUAAUUGAUUUGCCAUAAUUUGAGUUGUUAGAUGUGACCACGAGGAGGCAAAUUCAGUAGACAGAUCAUCAGAGGUAUCUUGAACCAAAAGUUACAAGCAUUUUUUCACAUAAUCAGGAUAGUGACUUGAAAAUGCUUCAGAAGAAAAACAGAAUUGGUCUUCUUCUGCUUGAAGUUAAAACGUAAGCCAAUCUGAAGAAAAGUACAAGAAGAGCAAGGGUUGGUGGUUGCAAUUUUGCUCCUACUCUCCAUCGACAAUAUAUGAGCUCAUGUUGUGUCUCAGUUCUGACUAAUGUCUAACUCCCCCUCCACAAAUUCAUACACAACAAUAGACAAGAAAUAGCGCAAAUUUUAUCUGAUCACCGGCCAUACAGGCUCUGCAAUAGUUCCAAGUAUAUGAAGACAACUUCAAACUCUCCUAACAGAUCUCAAAAAAGCAAUCGUGCAUUCCGAACUGAGGUGUAGCACAUUAUUAUACGGUUAUGGACUCUUUUAUUUUGUGUUUACGGUCGUGUUUCAUUUUUUAUAUAUUUGGUUCCAAACUAUAGCCUGAGCAUCUUAGAGAGCAUGCCAAAGAAGAAACAAAUGCAAUUUCUUAUGAACCUGGUGUGGAGAAUACCCUAAGGAGAAACACUUCUUCGAACCCCUUUCGAUAUACCCGAAACCACACGGAAAUCACUCACUCACCCAUCUGCUUCAUGGUGAUUCUUGCAUAGAUAAGAAAUGAUUAGCACAAGACGUUUGUUGGUUGUUUAAUAUUCAUGCGGGAUAUUGUCUCCUUCUUCACUAUUUGGUAAAGUUAGAGGAAACUGUGCAACAAAUAUACUAUUGUUAAAUUAAAUAUAUGAUGGGGCUGAUUAUUUGAA